rnacentral:rRNA from 1 species
UACGUAGGUCCCGAGCGUUGUCCGGAUUUAUUGGGCGUAAAGCGAGCGCAGGUGGUUUAUUAAGUCUGGUGUAAAAGGCAGUGGCUCAACCAUUGUAUGCAUUGGAAACUGAUAGACUUGAGUGCAGGAGAGGAGAGUGGAAUUCCAUGUGUAGCGGUGAAAUGCGUGGAUAUAUGGAGGAACACCGGUGGCGAAAGCGGCUCUCUGGCCUGUAACUGACACUGAGGCUCGAAAGCGUGGGGAGCAAACAGG